CCCGCCGUCCGGCGCUUGGGGGUCCCUGCGCUCCCUCCUCGCUCUUUACUCCACGCGGGAAGCGGACACGAGGGCCCGUGGGAGAUGCCUCGCGUCUUGCUGCCACCUCUCGGGUACCGCUUCUCGUCAGGCCACCGGUGCUGUCGUCUGUUCAGGCGCCUCACAGGUUCUCCAGAGGUGCAUCCUUCAGCAUAGAACUGGUGUCAGUUCUCCAGUGGUUUCACCCGACCACCUGUCUAGGGUUCACAGCCAUGGACAAAGUAUGCACUGCGUGGGCACUUGGAGCAUGGCAGCUGGGUUUCCUCACAGACCCUGAGAUGACUUCAAGAUGUCUUGGUUGCCACUGUUACCAGUUCUGGGGAGAAAAUGAGCACUUAUCUGACACCUCAAAGAUGUGGGUACCAAUCUCAUCCCUACUCAUGCCACCUCAGGAGUGCCACCGUCUCUCUCCUUGCUGUUGUUUCUGUCUCAUUCCUUGUUUCAGCUACAAACUCUCCAGGACAUGAUUUGCUUCCCACCAUGCCCCUGUUAUUGAAUUCUUUUCUUGGUAGGGAAAGUUUAAUUUUUCCUUACAGUAGUUCAAAGCAAUCCACCAGUGCCGAGCCCACUUGGUGUUGCUUACUGCCUUCCCAGACCACAACCUGGAGCCAUUUGCCCUAGAGAAACCCCUCAGGUGCAACCCAGGAGGGUCACUGCAUACAGAUCCAAACCAGGGAGGUGCCAAUGGAAUAGCCUCUGGCAAACAGAACAAACUCCUGGCAAGUAUAAAAUUCAUUUUAAUCCUUGGCAAUGCUUUGAUAUUGGAAGGAUAUGGGCUGUAGCACUCCUCAGGCUGGGGAUAUUCCCUUGUCCAGAGAAGGUGUACCUGAGGAUGGUGGCAGGGGAAGGAGAGGCACAGGCUGAACUGAUGAUGACACAUGUCAUGGUAAUUCCACUAUUUUCCCUUUCCUUUCUGUUUGGUUUACUGAGGAGGGAGUGAAAGGCAUAGAGGGGAGGGGUGAUAGUGUUUUUAUGUCAAAACAAGUGUUUUUAUGUCAAAACAUUAGCUAUCAGCUAGAUCUUCCCCAGUAAAUAAAGGGACUUGAUGUGAAUUCUACUCCAUCUCAGAAAUCAUACCCACAUGCUUCAAGUGUUCUUUUCCCUUUACAUUUCUUUUUUUUUUUUUUUCCAUUUUAAAAUCUAUGCAAUUGUGAGAAGUCACUUAUCCCUGUCACAAGAGAUCCAGGCACAGCAAAUAGAAGCUGAUUACUUGCCCCUGGGAGACAGCUGAAGUAUUUCUCCAAGGGGCACUGCUACAACACAGUCCCAAUCCUGCCAGCAGCCACCAGGAGCCUCCAUGCUCCUAUCCAUAUACCAUAUCCUAUAUUCUAUACCAUAUCCAUAUCCUAUACCAGCCAUAGGGUGCCCAUCCUUUAUAGGUCCUGAAUUAACUCAGGCAUUUUGUUCAGUAAAAGAUGAUUAAAGAAGCUGCAAGAUGUUAUCAUUAGAGGCUUCCUAUUAAACUAUGACUAUAAAUACUGGCACAGGAAGAAUAAAGCUUCUUUAAGCUAAGCAUGUCAGAAGAUAGUAUUUCCUUUAACAUUGGCCAUAAAAUGUAUUGGUUGACCAAAGUAUUUAUCAGUGCUACCUCUUAGGAAGUCAACAAGUUCAUUUUCAGUUCCUCUGACUGCUUUAUUUUUAAUGCAGUAAUGUGGUUAUCUAUUACAUAAAAUUGCAUCAUUAAAUAGAUUCCUCAAACCAUUUUCAACACCACAAAGGCAAAAGCUUUACACAAAAGGAUACCAAGGCUCAAAAAGAAAAUUCACCAGUUAGAACACAGCAAAACCCUAUUGCCUGUAGCAUAUUUUGUUUCCUUUGCAGCUUAAUAAUAAUUCCAAAUUUCCUUAUUUAAAAUGCUUGUUCUGGGAUUAAUUAAAUCAGCUGGUCUGAGCCUUGAGCUGCUGAUGUGUACAUUUAUUCUUUCCUAAUGUAUGGUGGGUUUUUUUCAAUAUACAGGAGCAGUGGCAGCAAGCCAGAGCAAUGCCAAUGUGCUGUGCCAAACAAAGAGCUCUAAAGCAGAAUAGUUUGUUGGAGUAUUCUUCUUCCCCCUUGAUGCCCUGGCAUGGGGAAUCACUUCCACACCUCCUAUUUGUGCCUGGCUACUGGUGUGAGCAGACACCAGUGAGUCAGGAGGAACCUGGGAGUGAUGGCAGAAUAUUAGUGCAUUUACAAGUAGAAUUCUGAGCAUGGCCUUUAUCCUGGGUAUUUUACCUGUGCCAAUCAAGCAGCAAAAAUAGUCCUUUAUAAAAGGCAAGAUGAAACUGUGCAAAGAGUGUAGAUAACAAUCUUCGUGCUUGCUGUGGAUCAAACAGAAUAAGAUGUGCAAUAGUUUGGGAGGUGCUGGUUUGCCUCUGAAUGUCUGAAGUUUGGAGAGAUUUGCUCACUUUGGGCAUGUACCCAAAGCCAUCCGCAGCAAGGGGAGUUGGCUGGGGCAGAGAACUGACCUUUUUAUUGCAGGGCUGGUCUAUGGUCAUCAGAAGAAACCUGCUGCUGUUCAGCCUGCAGCGCCUUUUCAUCAGCAUUGCUCUCACUGACAGUAAUGGGAAUUAUGGUUGCAGUUUAACUUUCUCAUGUGCCAAGGUAUAGCCGCACACAGUUCUCCUCUUUAUAAAAGAAGACCAGGCACUCUAUAACUGCUAAGAACAGGCUGUCUGAAAGGUGUUUUAUUAACUAGAGUUGGGGAAGAAAAUGAAACUGAAAAGAAUACGACUGCAUAUUAAACUACAUGAAGUGGUCAUGACAACUGGGAAUCUCAGCAUCAUAAAAUUUUAACAGCUGGAUGCAAUCAGUGGGGAUUUUCUAUUUUUCUUUUUUUUGUUAAGCUUAAGAAAGAAGAAGAGGAAGAGGAAAAAAAAAGAAAAAGAAAAGCUUCAUUUUAUUCAAGCAAGCUUUUUAUCCAGCUCAGCUUUCUUUGCUUAAUAUCAGAAGCUGUCUUUACUUCUCUAUAAAUCUCAGCACUGCCUGUGCUUAGUUGACAUCGUCCUUUUCCCGGGGCAGAGAUUCCACAGCUGGAGGUGUUCAAUAUCCCCAACAGCAGCACGACAAGGAAUGUUACAGGCACGUUAUAGGGAGACUUCCCCUGAGUGUAUGCAAUUUUCAGAACUUAACAAAUAAUUAAUCAAAAUCAAAUUUUACCUCACAAUUCAUCAAGACUCAACUGUGCCUGAAAUCCCACAGUAGUUCUUCAACAAAAGGACAAAGUUCCACGGUAAGUCAGCAGAAACACUUUAAUGUUUGUCUGGGCAUCUUCCAUUUCAUCACAUGGAGUCUCAGCCCAGGCUUUCACUUAUAUAGGUUUCUUUCUUUAGCACUGCUUGCUUCCUGGUAGUGUCAGCACUUGCCUUGAGGUAGCUGAAGAAACAUCUCACAGAUUUUAUCAGACCUAUAGAAACAGAGGACGUUACCGAAAAGAAUGUAACGGAUUUCCCACCCCCAGAAAAAGCAUAUGUUUAAAAAACAAGUUCAGAAUUGUAUAUAAUUUAUGGAAUGGUAUUCCUUGAUAGCUCCAGUGAGGAUUGGCUUAUUUGUCCAGGGAGUAAUUGUAUAUUAUUCAACAUAACUGAGUUUGAUGGCUCUCUGUCUGACUUGUAUGGCUUUGCUUAGGCAGCCUUAUAAACAAGCAUGUUUCCUCAGUUCAUUGUUAUUUCUGUGUCUGUUAAAAUGCAAACUGACUCCAAACUUCUGACUUCACCUUUCAAUGAUUACAUGUGCAUUUUUGUUUACUAAAAUAACUUCACUUUUCAUUUACUGAUGGCUCAUGAAGCCUACAACAGCAUCCACACAUCCGAAGAAAAUUGCUUCUCUUGUUGCAUUUUCAGCCUCCCCAAAUCCCACUUGUCUCCAAAGUCACAGGUUUUCCAGAGCAGAGGUUGCAUUCUGCAUAAACUCCUAAGCCCUUGUUUUGAGGGCUGUGGAUGAGCUUUGCCUCUCCUGAGGGACUCAGCACUACACAUUUGUACUGAGGGUCAGAGCAAGGCAGGAUGGAGCAGUGAGGCUGCACAAAGAGCAGAUAUCAUCUGGGGAGUUUUCACCUUCAGUCUCCCAGCUCCUGCAGUGGGUUGCCCUAAAUUAUGCUUUCCAUGUUCUUCCACAAAAUAAUUUGGAAACACCUGUAGAAGGGCCAAAAUAAACACUAGCAGCUGGUGUUUGGAAAUGGCUGGGGCUGCCCUUUGAUGAGGUGCCUGGGAAGGGAGCAGGGUACAUCGCCUGGCAGUGCCCAUACCAGUGAACUGUGGAGAAAACUGGUGGGCAAUGAAAUGCUGCCUGGGCUUGGUGACUGCAAAGACCUGGGACGCGGACCUGGUCUCCAAAUUUGGGGGACCGUGUCUGGACUGUGAAGGACUUCUGAGUGGUGGGCUUGCUUCAGUCCCAAAUGUCUCUAACUGAAGUAAACCCUCACCAAACGAAGCUGCUGCAUGUGCUUUGAGCAGAGAUGUGAACUCAGAGCCACCAGCACAGGUUAAAUGAUCAGAGCAAAGAGACAAGAAAUAUGCUUUUCUAUGGAGAGCCAGUUAAAAGUGCAACCAUACCACCGUGCUUGCACUACGUGAUGUAUUUCAUAGGCUGGUACAAGGCACUGUGUGGGGAUAAGGCUUUUUUUUCCAAGACAAAUUGCUGCUCAGGGGGUCCUCGGGAGGAUCACUGAGUCAUCUUCAUGUAUCACUCCAAAUGAACUAGCAGCAUCCACGUGAAAACCCGGGCAGUCUGUGAAUGAACAGCCUUGGAGGGAGAUGUUUGAGUGACAGUCGGCAUCGUGCUGGCACCUGAUGGGUGUCACCACUGGGUGACACGAAAUGCGCUCUGCGGGACUGGCACUUGUGCUCCGAGCAGACUUUUCCCCCUUGCGGCCGACAUCUGAGGAGGGCAGGGGCUUUGCGGGGAACACACGGCGUAAGGACUCAGCUCCCGUUUCCUGAGCUCCUCCUCGCACCUCCAGCUACAGACGGCCCGGAGAGCCCGGCGUGUCCGACCCCCGCCCGGGAAAGCGGCCGGAGGAGAGCAAGGGUGGUCCCUUCCCCGCAGUUCCCGGGACAGCAUCCCCGCUCCGGUGCCGCCACGAUGUGGCCCCGGUGCCGCUCCGCUCCCUCCCCUCUCCCGGUACCGCUCCCGGUAC